GAGUUUUCUCAAUUUUUUAUUAAAAUAUUUAAUUAAAAAUAAUACCCACUGUGGCACUGUCCUCCAUUGAGAGGUGAAAAGGUGGUGAGGAGGAGCUGGCAAUGCCCAUCUCUAGGAAUCCGGACAAGCCCUGCCUCCCAGGUUCCCGUUUAUAUCCCCAACUUUCCAACAGGUUCUGACCUCCAGGCAGUUGGUUCAAAGUUACAAGUGCUUGUGACCCUCCCUUGAGCUCCUCCAGGCCCACCCCUGUACAGAAUUCAAGGGCCACCUGAACAAACUCCUUGCUUUUUCUCAUUUUUGGGCUCCUUCGUUCAUGCUACAAAGAGGAUCUGAGGGACAGAGUGGCGUCUCUACUAGCUGGGGUAAGGGAGGAAAUGGACAGUAAUGGGGGACAGGGCCAAGAAGAGGGAUGGUGAUGAAUACUCCAGAGCAGGAUCGGGUAGCAGGGCACUGGGUCUCUCAGCAUGUAUAGCCCUUCCAGGCCCAAUAGCUCCAUGCGCAGCUCAUCUUCUAGCCCUAGCCCCAACUCCAACCCUGCUACUGACACCUCAAAGCCAGGCACUCCAGCCAGGGUUGCUGCAAUCUCCUUAGAGAAACCUGGGAAGGAGUCUCCUAUGAGGAUGAUGUUCAGCCUUGAGCCACAGCAGGAGCAGUGGUGGGUCAAGUUCUGGUGGUUGAGGGUGUGGGAAUCCUGAGGGCCAGCCACUGGUCCCUCACCUUCUAAAAAUCCAGGCCCUUCAGAAAAGCCAGGGGGACCCAUCACCAGGCUGAUUUAUGGGCUCUCCAUGCUGAACUGCUCCAGUUCCCCAGGCUGAAGUCACUCAUCGGCCAGUGAAGACUUGCCCAAGCCCAGUGGGCCGAGGCGGGGAGUAUUCCAUAAUCCAAUUGCCUGCUCAGGGGCUACCCACCUGAGGGCUGCGCUGAGCAGGCCUGAGAGGGCAGCUCUGGCUGCUGUAGAGACUUUGGGGUGUGUGGCUGGGUGUGCAGAUUACUGGUCUCCAGGGGGACACCCUGAACGAUGGAAGACAGGGUGGGUGACACUGGCAAAAACUGUUUGGGUAGCUGCUGUUGCGACCUUCUGGCAUCGGCUGGACCUGUGAGCAAACUUAGGGGGCUGAGGGGUACAAGGCAGUGGUGGUGGGGAGGCCCCAGGAGUAGAGGUUGAGUAAGGUAGGGGCAGAUGAAGAAUAAAGUGGAGGACGAGAGGAGGAGUAGGAGAAGGAAGAGGAAGAGGGGGAGGAAGAGGGGGAGGAGGAGGAGAAGUGGGGGGCAGGGUACUUAGUGAGGGCUGGCCCAGGAAGGUAGUAGGCAGGGCAUGGUGGGCCAAGGAAGAGGGAGAUAGUGAGGGGAGACUGUGGAUGCCCUGAAGAUGGAGCUGAGGACUGCUCAGGGAAGUCUGGAGAUCGGGAUUGCUUAGGGAGGACUGCAGGGAUGGGUGGCUGAGAGGUGAACAAAGUCCUGGGGCAUCAUGACCUGGACCCAAGUCCAGGCUCAGGCCCUCACUAAUGCCCAGGUGAGUCAUGAUGUGAGUCAAAUUGGAGGUACUGUUGCCCCUAUUCAGGCUAGAGUAGGCUGUCUCCUCAGGGUCCGGGGGGUGGGCAGUGCUGGCAGAAAGUACAAAUUGAUGAGGUCAGGUAGGGACCUCCUGCCACAUCCAGUCUUCAUGGCAGGUGGGAGGACAGGAACAUUGGCAAGCUGGCCAGGAAAUGGAAAGAUAUUAAUUCCAGGGACUUCAUUAGGACCGGGGUCAGGAGGAGGGUGACGACAGCUUCUAAGUAUCCCAUGGCUUCAGCAAAUGCUUGUCACCUAGGAGAACUUCUCCUCAAUAGCAGGUACUUUGGAGUCCAUUUUACCAACCUGAAAUGUUGGCUGGGCAGGAUGCUGGGAGGUGUGGGGCCUGAAUAAGUAUCCUGGGGACUGGGGUUCAUCAUACUUGUGUGAAGGGCAGAGUCAGAGCUUGUCCUGUUAAAUGCAGAUGCUGGGCAAAACAGGUACCCCUUCUCUGCAGGGAAAUUGUCCCAGGAGAUAGUCCUUCACCAGCUGGACACUUGGGGAGGAGAUAAGUAGGCAGGACUAUAGGGAGAGCUGUCAGUGUGGUAGGGUGUUGGCAGAGAACCACCAUAACGGGAGCUCCUUGUGUAUGGCAGUUGCAGUUUUUGGGUGUGUAACUGGGUGGAGCUGAUGUCCAUUAUCAUUUCCUCGAGGGCCACUGUGUCCUCAGCCUGACACUGCUUCUGCAGCGUGAUCUCACUAAACUUGCACAGAUUGAAAGCCAAGGCUGUGGCCGAACAAGGCUCAUUUGCCCUGCCCCUGAUGUCGCCAUCUUCCUCCCGUUCCUUCCUGACACCCUCCCAGUACAAGCCACUGUUCCUCCCUCAACACCUCCCAGCAUCCUAUUCCAGCCACAGCGACUGCCGCCUCAGCCUCACAAACAGUUUUGGAAAGUACAGGCAAACCCUGCAGAAUAGCUCCCCAAUCAUUAUUUUCCCAAUAGAACACCUCUUGGUUUUUAAUACCAAAACCUCCUAAAAUGUGCUUUUCUCACAAUGCAAGAUUGUUCUGGCAAAUAUUUAUGUAAGGAAAGAUUUAUAUUUGUAUGUGACAAAACUCAAUUCGCAUUUUAAAUAAAAGAUUGUGCAAGAAAAGUUUGGAGCUACAUUCCAAAUAUAAUCGAUAGACUGUUAGAAUCACAGUAGACAUAAAAAAUCAUGCGAAGUAUCAAAGUGAUACAAAAUGUAGGUAUAGGAUGAUGCUUUUAUCAUAUUCAGUAUGAGCCAUUUACUAACACAGUUUGCUUGUCCUCAAUGUAUUUCUACAGCCUCUCAUAUACUUGUUUAGCCUGUUUUGCUUACUGCUGAGAGUCCCUAAACAUUUAAGAAAAUGUUGAAGAGAACAGUGGGAAUGGGCAAAAAGCAAUUAUACUGGAAGAAAAGAUUUUACUAUAUAUAAAUCUGAUUUGUUAAUCUCAUUGUAUUGAUCACACAUGAUGAUAUUUUACUUAUACAAAGGUAAUUCACAGUGGUUAGUUACAUUUCUGAAUUUGGUUAGGGAGUUCGUGUUGAUACACUGCCAUUUUUUCCCAUUUAGUCUACAUUCAACCAUUUGACCUAAAAAAAUGACAAUUUCAUAUGGUCCAACUUAACAUAAAAAUAAUGUUCACCCCAAACUUAGAUGUCAAAAAUUUAUAUAAAUAAAAUCUGCUAAAUCAAAUAUAAAUAUAAUAAAUAUUUUGAAAUAUAAUCUUUAAUCAAAGCCAUUUCAUGUUUAGCUCAUUUUCAGAAACAUUUUUACCCCACUUAAGGCUCAACUUUUUGUUAGGACGAAAUUAAAGGGAAAACAGUUCACAUCUCAACUUUUAAUAUCUGUUGGUAAAUAUCAAGAUACAUGAUUUUUAAAAAGAAAAAAGCCACAAAUGACUGAACAGCACAUACAUGCAAAUUUAAGCCAUCUUUGCUUCAGUGAAGAAAAAUAAAUACAUGGAAUUCAUAUUUCAAGACUUUCUAAUCUUUAAGAUAGUUACUUAAGAUCUGGUAUUAGUGCUAUUUGUCAUAAAAGCUCAUAUAUUCAUUGAGCUGUCAAAAACAAGUUUUACAUGUUGACAAUUGCCUUUUGGUCUCUGAAAACAGGAUCCUAUUAUAUGUUUUCUAGUUCACAGCUGAGUUCACAGCAGCUGUGAGGCUAAGAAAUGCCAGCAACCAAUUAGGCUGGCAUAAACCUUGUCUAGCAUAUAAAGUAUAAUUUGGUUGCAAAUGGAGGAGACAAGAGCCAAAAUAAGUCAGCCAAGAAUACUAAUAAAAUUUCAUUACAAGUAUUUAAAAGUCAGAAUAUUAAAAAUCUAACAAAAAUAUGUAUUUUAUUAAGAAAAUAUAGUAGUAGAACGUUAGGAAAAAUACAAAAAAGCAACAAUCAAUUCUUUUCAGAUCCAAGCAGUUUUUUAAAAGGUUGCAGCUGUUUCUGACAUACCUAGGAUUACAAACUCUAUGUUGUUUUUUUUUUUUU
rnacentral:lncRNA from 1 species